rnacentral:rRNA from 1 species
UACGAAGGGGGCUAGCGUUGCUCGGAAUCACUGGGCGUAAAGCGUGCGCAGGCGGUUCGCCGUGUCCUGUGUGAAAGCCCCGGGCUUAACCUGGGAAUUGCAUGGGAAACUGGCGGGCUGGAGUGUGGCAGAGGGGGGUGGAAUUCCACGUGUAGCGGUGAAAUGCGUAGAGAUGUGGAGGAACACCAAUGGCGAAGGCAGCCUUCUGGGCCAACACUGACGCUCAUGCACGAAAGCGUGGGGAGCAAACAGG